rnacentral:rRNA from 1 species
UACGAGAGGCCCAAACGUUAUUCGGAAUUACUGGGCUUAAAGAGUUCGUAGGCGGCGCGGAAAGUGGGGUGUGAAAGCCCUCGGCUCAGCCGAGGAAUUGCGCUCCAAACUACCGUGCUUGAGGAAGCUAGAGGUGAGCGGAACUGAUGGUGGAGCGGUGAAAUGCGUUGAUAUCAUCAGGAACACCGGAGGCGAAGGCGGCUCACUGGGGCUUUUCUGACGCUGAGGAACGAAAGCCAGGGUAGCGAACGGG